rnacentral:tRNA from 1 species
GAGGGUAUAGCUCAGUGGUAGAGUGCAUGCUUAACAUGCAUAAGGUCCUGGGUUCAAUCCCCAGUACCCCA